rfam:Danio rerio chromosome 9, GRCz11 reference primary assembly.
CACCACAGCCAUAUCACCCUGCAGCCCAAGACCGGUUAUUCUCUGAAGUUAAGCAGGGCUGAGCCUGGUCAGUACCUGGAUGGGAGAUCACAUGGGAAAACUAGGUUGCUGCUGGAA